rnacentral:rRNA from 1 species
AGCGAACGCUGGCGGCAGGCCUAACACAUGCAAGUCGAACGAACCCUUCGGGGUUAGUGGCGGACGGGUGAGUAACACGUGGGAACGUGCCUUUAGGUUCGGAAUAACUCAGGGAAACUUGUGCUAAUACCGAAUGUGCCCUUCGGGGGAAAGAUUUAUCGCCUUUAGAGCGGCCCGCGUCUGAUUAGCUAGUUGGUGAGGUAAUGGCUCACCAAGGCUACGAUCAGUAGCUGGUCUGAGAGGAUGACCAGCCACAUUGGGACUGAGACACGGCCCAAACUCCUACGGGAGGCAGCAGUGGGGAAUCUUGCGCAAUGGGCGAAAGCCUGACGCAGCCAUGCCGCGUGAAUGAUGAAGGUCUUAGGAUUGUAAAAUUCUUUCACCGGGGACGAUAAUGACGGUACCCGGAGAAGAAGCCCCGGCUAACUUCGUGCCAGCAGCCGCGGUAACAC